rnacentral:rRNA from 1 species
GACGAACGCUGGCGGCGUGCUUAACACAUGCAAGUCGAACGGAAAGGCCCUGCUUUUGUGGGGUGCUCGAGUGGCGAACGGGUGAGUAACACGUGAGUAACCUGCCCUUGACUUUGGGAUAACUUCAGGAAACUGGGGCUAAUACCGGAUAGGAGCUCCUGCUGCAUGGUGGGGGUUGGAAAGUUUCGGCGGUUGGGGAUGGACUCGCGGCUUAUCAGCUUGUUGGUGGGGUAGUGGCUUACCAAGGCUUUGACGGGUAGCCGGCCUGAGAGGGUGACCGGCCACAUUGGUACUGAGAUACGGCCCAGACUCCUACGGGAGGCAGCAGUGGGGAAUAUUGCACAAUGGGCGGAAGCCUGAUGCAGCAACGCCGCGUGCGGGAUGACGGCCUUCGGGUUGUAACCCGCUUUCGCCUGUGACGAAGCGUGAGUGACGGUAAUGGGUAAAGAAGCACCGGCUAACUACGUG